rnacentral:rRNA from 1 species
UACGUAGGGGGCAAGCGUUGUCCGGAUUUAUUGGGCGUAAAGAGCGUGUAGGCGGCCAGGUAGGUCUGCUGUGAAAACUCGAGGCUUAACCUCGAGCUGUCGGCGGAAACCAUCUGGCUAGAGUCCGGAAGAGGAGAAUGGAAUUCCCGGGUGUAGCGGUGAAAUGCGCAGAGUAUCGGGAAGAACACCCGUGGCGAAGG